rnacentral:rRNA from 1 species
UACGUAGGGGCCAAGCGUUGUCCGGAUUUAUUGGGCGUAAAGAGCUCGUAGGCGGUUCGGCAAGUCGAAUGUGAAAUCUCCACGCUCAACGUGGAGGGGUCAUUCGAUACUGCCGUGACUCGAGUCCGGUAGGGGAGUGUGGAAUUCCCGGUGUAGCGGUGAAAUGCGCAGAUAUCAGGAGGAACACCGGUGGCGAAGGCGGUUCUCUGGGAAUGUCCUGACGCUGAGGAGCGAAAGUGUGGGGAGCGAACAGG